rnacentral:rRNA from 1 species
UCGAGGGAAACGAUGAGAGAGCUUGCUGUCCUGGGCGUCGACCGGCGCACGGGUGAGUAACGCGUUUCCACCUUGCCCAUUACAGGGGAAUACCCGUGCGAAAGUAAGAUUAUUGCCCCAUGUUAUUGUCAGCAGACAUAUAUUGAGGAUUAAAGUUUGUUCGGUUAUGGAUGGGGAUGCUUCUGAUUAGCUUGCGGGCGGGGUAACGGCCCACCAGGGCAUCGAUCAGUAGGGGUUUUGAGAGGAAGUUCCCCCCCAUGGGAAUUGAGACACGUUCCAAAUUCUUACGGGAGGCAGCAGUGAGGAAUAUUGGUCAAUGGGCGCAAGCCUGAACCAGCCAAGUAGCGUCCAGGAGGACGGCCUUUUGGGUUGUAAAUUGCUUUUUAAGGGGAAUAAAGAGGGGCACGCUUCUCCUGUUCCAUGUACCCUUGGAAUAAGGUCCGGUUAAUUCCGUGCCAGCAGCCGCGGUAAUACGGAAGGUCCAGGUGUUUUCCGGAUUUAUUGGGUUUAAAGGGAGCGUAGGCCGCAGGUUAAGUGUGUUGUGAAAAGCAGUCGCCCAAGUUUUGCCUUGCAGCGCAAACUGUCCCGCUUGAGUGCGCACAACGCGGGCGGAUUUGGUCGUGUAGCGGUGAAAUGUUAAGAUAUGACGAAGAACUCCGAUUGGGAAGGCAGCGUGCGGGAGCGCAACUGACGUUGAAGUUGGAAAGUGCGGGUAUCGAACAGGAUUAGAUCCCCUGGU